CGCGCCCGGAGCCUUCCCCGCUUCGCUUCCUGGGCGUCCCGCGGCCCCCGACUCCUCUCCCAACUCUCACCCGACUGUUCUGGGAUUGUUUACCUGGCCUCUCCCUCACCCUUCAGAAAGCUCCUUCCUGGAAGAAAAAACCACAAACUUACCCUAUUUAUCUUUUUAAUCCCACGGCUAUUUAAACGAGCUAACGGGUGUAUAGUAGGCACUCAAUAAAUAUUUGUUGGCAAAGUGAAUAUUCCUCAUUGCAGGCAGAGCUCGGGGUCCACACGGAGGAAUUUCAGAGGCUGAAAGCACGCUUGAAGAAGGGGGCCUGGGCUUUGCACCAACUUCAGGAUUGCGUACUUGUUUCCUCAUCCGUUAAAUGGGAGCAGCUGAAUGUGUCUCCUAGCGUUUUCGAGAUUGUAGGUUGAUAGAACUAUGUACAGCACCUAGUAUUCAUUCUUGCUUCGUUUAGGUUUACAAUACAUGGAAGCUAACAUUAUUAUUAAGGAAACUUCCAUUUUUCCCGGGCCUCAGAAAGCUUUUCCAAUACUCGAUCGUUUAAGCUUCUGGGUUUUUUUUGUUGUUGUUUUUGUUUUUUAGAAAAAUGAAGGUCUCACUUUGUUGCCCAGGCUGAUCUCGAACUCCUGGCCUCAAGUGAUCCUCCCGCUUUUGGCCUCCCAAACUGAUGGAAUUACCGUCUGGAACCACUGUGUUAAACUCUUAGAUUUGACUGCUACAAAUGUAUAAAUGUGGAACUCCAUGUAUCAGUGGGUUCUGCCCCACUUCUUACUCCCAGGAAUUCUCCGUCCCAGCCUGCUGCUCCUGUCCUGCACCAGGGAACAAACAUGUAUCCUGGAUGAAAAUAAACCAAGUCUAUUGAAAUUGCAACCCAAGACAUUCAGAAGAGACAAGGCUACAGUGAAUCUGGAAAGUUUGCACGUGUUUGGAUGUACUGAUUGCCUUAACUGGCAGCCCUUUGCACUGCCAGCUUCUCCCUCAAUUACAUGAGGAACCACGAGGGGGCAAUGUCUUCCCGAGCAAUAAUAGGUGAGUGGUGGUCUUAGGACCCCGUGGUGGCCCAUGAUGCUAGCACUGUGUCUUUGGCCAUUCUUGCCUGUUAUGGAGCGUAGUCCACAGAAGGGCAUGGUCUUCUUGGAGCCUGGCAUGGGCCCAACAAAAAUGACAAUGUAGUCAAUAGUUCCACUCAGACUUCACUUGGGAGCAGGUGGACUACGUUGUGUGAUAUCAGGAUGCCUGGAGAACCUCUCCUAUCCCCACCCAGGGAAGCAUGGCUUAAUUCCAAAUAAAGAAUCUGGUUCCUUUGUCUUUAAGCCAAGCCAGGACUUUGUCUAUUGUUAAAAGUCAAAAAUCUCUGGGAUAAGAAACAAAAAUAAGUUCCAGCCGGGGCACGGUGGCUCAUGCCUGUAAUCCCAGCACUUUGGGAGGCCGAGGUGGGCCGAACACAUGAGGUCAGGAGUUCGAGACCAGCCUGGCUAACAUGAUGAAACCCCGGUUCUACUAAAAAUACAAAAAAAUUAGCUGGGUGUGGUGGCACACGCCUAUAAUAGCAGCUACUCGGGAGGCUGAGGCGGGAGAAUUGCUUGAACCUGGGAGGCAGAGGUUGCAGUGAGCCAAGAUUGCGCCAUUGCACUCCAGCUUGGGCAACAAGAGUGAAACUGUCACAAAAAAACAAAAAUAAGUUCCAGGAGAGGAUCCUUGUCUGGCUUAUUCACUGUUAUAUUCCCAGCAUCUAGACAGUGCCCAACACAUAGGAGGCACUCAGUUAUUUUUUAAUAAAUGAGCAUUUUAAGUCUGAUGGGUUACUGAUUCUUAGGCCUGAAUGUUAUCACUGGAUUUUUCCAAGAUCCAGCAGGAAGGACUAAAUCAGUGGAGAUGUCUUAAAACAGGUAGUCACAGCAAUGGCAUUAGGCAGGGUCUUGGCAGUGUUUUUUUUGUUUGUUUUUUUGUUUUUUUUUCUGAGAGUCUCACUCUGUUGCCCAGGCAACAUUGUUUAAGAAAAUGUCUCACCCAGGUGAGAAUUGUUCAAGCAAUUCUCCUGCCUCCGCCUCCCCAGUAGCUGGGACUACAGGUGCACACAACCACACCUGGCUAAUGUUUUUGUAUUUUUAGUAGAGGUAGGGUUUCCCCAUGUUGGCCAGGCUGGUUGGUACUGAACUCCCAAACUCAGGUGAUCCACCCGCCUCAGCCUCCCAAAAUGCCGAGAUUACAGACAUGAGCCACCGGCCUAGCAGUGGUCUUUAGUCAUGAUUUUGCAGGGAGAACCCUAGAUAGAGACCUUGUGCAGAAUGAAACAACUGAUAAGGUUUCAAAUAGUAAAAGAUAAAAUCCCACCAUUGAGGCCAGGUGCAGUGAGUCAUGCCUGUAAUCCUAGCACUUUGGGAGGCCGAGGUGGGCGGAUCAGCUGAGGUCAGGAGUCUGAGAUCAGCCUGGCCAACAUGGUGAAACCCCAUUUUUGAAAAUACAAAAAUUAGCCAGGCCUGGUGGUGGGUGCCUGUAGUCCCAGCUAUUCAGGAGGCUGAGGCAGGAGAAUCGCUGGAACCCAAGAGGCAGAGAUUGCGGUGAGCCAACAAACAUCACACCACUGCACUCCAGCCUGGGCGACAGAGCAAAACUCCCGUCUCAAAAAAAUUUAAAAAAAAAUCACACCAUUGAUUUUGACAUAUCAGACAAUAAAAUCGACACUGAUGCAGGAAUGGCUAUACUAUAUAGUCAGUGGUGAGAGUGACAUUCAGGGUGUUUUCAGAAAAACAUAUGGGGUUGGGAUAAUAUGUCAGGAAGAGAGAUUCCUGCUUUUGGUCCUUUCCAUGAAGAAUAGAGUUAUUUGAAAGAGCAAUAAUGUAUUACCAAUAAAACUCAAGGAAAAUCUGUAAACAGACUUUCGCUAUUUGUAAAACUUGGUGAUUGAAGGCAAAGAGUUUGGGGGAGGAAAAUGUAGCUUCAAUCAGGGUAUAAAUGAUAAUUACAACUUGCUUAUGACUUUAAAAAAAGAUUCCAAAGUAAGAUCUCCUCAGUAGCAAUAGUUCCCAGGCAUCCUGAGAAUUAUAAGACAACAAAGGGUUUGUUUUUUUUUUUUUGAGACGGAAUUUCGCUCUAACCAAGGGAUUUUAUAUCCUGUAAUAGUUGUGCUGAAGACCAGAAAAGUCCGCUUUCUCCCCAGCCUAACACUCUACCUACCGUAUUGCCUGACCUUCGAGAUUACCUUGAAAGGGUAAUAUUGUACACACACCUGUAGUUUUUUAUUACUCACUGCUAGAGAAACAGCAUUUCUAGGCUUGCCUUAAGAAAUCCAAACCUAUAAUUAUGUCUUAAAUGUUUGCCUUUGGGAACUGCAGACAUUAAAGGUCUAUUUUGAGGCGAUUUGCAUGGCAUGAGCUUUGUACCUAUGUUAGCUUUGCAGCAGAAAGCUGCAGUAUCUACCACGUGUGUUGUGAUUGUCUCUUAACCCUUCGGCUCAGCCAAAGAAGUUCUUGAGGCCAGAGGGGCUGUAUUUUAUUGGUUUUUGUCAUCCUUGACACCUCUCUCUCCCUCACCCGGUGCAUGCAUACUCACCUCCAGCUCCUCUCCAUCUUCCCCUGAUUUUUUUAUUUAUUAAUUUAUCAUUGUGGCAAAAGACACAUAACAUGAAAUUUACCUUCUUCACCACUUUGGGUUUUUUGGUUUUUUUGUUUUGUUUUGUUUUUUUGACAUGGAGUCUCACUCUGUUGCCCAGGCUGGAGUGCAAUGGUGCCAUCUCGGCUCACCACAACCUCCACCUCCCAGGUUCAAGACAUUCCCCUGCUUCAGCCUCUUGAGUAGCUGGGACUACAGGCGUGUGCCACCAUGUCUGGCUAAUUUUUGUAUUUUUAGUAGAGAUGAGGUUUCACUAUGUUAGCCAGGCUGGGUUGGUUUUUUUUUUUUUUUUUUUUUAGAGAUGGGUUUCACUGUGUUGCCCAGGCUGGUCUCAGACUCCUGGGUUCAAAUGAUCCUCCCACCUCAGCCUCCCAAAGUGCUGAGAUUACAGGUAUGAGCCACUGCACCCAGCCUACUUGUUUGUUUUGCCAGAUUUCGUUCUGUUGCCCAGGCUGGAGUAUAGUAGCAUGAUCAUAACUCACUGCAGCCUCGAACUCCUGGGCCCAAGCAAUCUUCCUGUCUCAGCUUCCUGAGCAGCUGGGACUGCAGACUCUUGCCACCACACCCAGCUAAUUUUUAAAUUUUUUUCCCAGGCUGGUCUCAAAUUCCUGCCUUCAGGGAAUCCUCCUGCCUCAGCCUCCCAAAGUGCUGAGAUUAUAGGCAUAAACUGUUUCACCUAAGCCUUCCAUUUGAACCAUUUUUAAGUGUAGUGUUAAGUAUAUUCACAUGGUUGUGCAACAGCUCCCUGAUUUUCAGCUCUUAAAGAAUCUGAGGUUCACUGGUUUCCCUCUGACCAUGAUCAGAGGCCCACAUGGAGGAGAAUCCAGGUGUUUGGCUUACGGCCCCAGCUGAGCUCUGCAGACAACCAGUAUCAAUUUGCCAGCCCUCUGAGUGAACUAUCUUGAGAGUGGUUGCUCCAGCCCUAGUUGAGCUGCUGCAGCUGAUACCAUCUGGAACAGAGA
ensembl:lncRNA